rnacentral:rRNA from 1 species
UACAGAGGUCCCAAGCGUUGUUCGGAUUCAUUGGGCGUAAAGGGUGCGUAGGCGGCGCGGUAAGUCGGGUGUGAAAUCCUGGAGCUCAACUCCAGAACUGCCUUUGAUACUGGAGAGCUUGAGUCCGGAAGAGGUGAGUGGAACUCCGAGUGUAGAGGUGAAAUUCGUAGAUAUUCGGAAGAACACCAGUGGCGAAGGCGGCUCACUGGUCCGGUACUGACGCUGAGGUGCGAAAGCGUGGGGAGCAAACAGG